rnacentral:rRNA from 1 species
GACGAACGCUGGCGGCGUGCUUAACACAUGCAAGUCGAACGCUGAAGCCCUUUCGGGGGUGGAUGAGUGGCGAACGGGUGAGUAACACGUGGGUAAUCUGCCCUGUACUUCGGGAUAAGCCUUGGAAACGGGGUCUAAUACCGGAUAGGACCUGUCCUCGCAUGGGGGUGGGUGGAAAGUUCCGGCGGUAUGGGAGGAGCCCGCGGCCUAUCAGCUUGUUGGUGGGGUAGUGGCCUACCAAGGCGACGACGAGUAGCCGGCCCGAGAGGGUGACCGGUCACACUGGGACUGAGACACGGCCCAGACUCCUACGGGAGGCAGCAGUGGGGAAUCUUGCGCAAUGGGCGAAAGCCUGACGCAGCAACGCCGCGUGGGGGAUGACGGCCUUCGGGUUGUAAACCUCUUUCGACAUCGACGAAGGGGCCCUGUUGUGGGGUUUUGACGGUAGGUGUAGAAGAAGCACCGGCUAACUACGUGCCAGCCGCCGCCGUAA